UCCACCGUGGUGCAGUGGUAGCCCGCCAGGCUGCUCGUCUGGAGACCCGAGUUCGAUUCUUGGCGGUGGAA